CAAGGCUAGUGAUAGCUGGUUCUCCGCGAAAAUUAUUUAAGUAAUACGGGGAAGACUGCUAGGUUAGGGUAAAGUAAUCUUGGAACAAUGCAAUAGAAUAUUGCGCAACGUUUUUAGAAACUCUAAAUAUAACCUAGUUUAUUUCUCUAGUCAGACGUACUCGCGCAAAGGUGAUACGUCAAGAGGGAAACAGCCCAGAUCACCAGUUAAGGUGUUUAAUAAUCUUUAAUUUGAAAGGAGUAAAAUUAAUACGUUACUUAGGAGAUAGGCUUGGAAGCAGCCAUUCAUUAAAGAAAGAGUAAAAGCUCACUAAGUUAAUAUAAUAUAACGACUAUAAAUAUUACGUUAUAUUUAAUCCGAUAAUGUAUAGGUAGUAAAACUAUUAACCGAAGCUUCGAAAAUAAUCUAUUUGGUAGUGGAGUUUUCUGUAAUUCAAUAAAGAUUAAUUGUGAAAUUAGUUUGAGAAAUCAGUUUUAAUUAUACUAGUACUAGUAACGUAAAAUUAUGAUUUAUAUCAUAAUCACCUAAAAUUCUAGAGUUUCAUUACAAGGGAUAACCUAAAUGGCAAAUACGUCCUCUUAGAAAAAGACUAACGUCGUAUGUUUAAUGAGUUAAAUACUAAUUUGACUUUAAUAAAAGUUUAUAUUAAAUAUUAGUUUAAUUUUUAUAAACUGUAAUUAAACUAGAAAAAUAUUAGUAACCUUUAAUUUCGAUUAAAGGCUAAUUUUCUACAAAGCGUAUUAAAUCUGACACUAGUGAAUUAGUAGAAUAUACUGUGGUGAUAGAAGAAUAUAAUUGAAGGAACUCGGCAAAUUAACCCUGUAACAUCUGGAGAAGGGGGAUUCUAUUUUAUAGAAUAUCUAAAAAGAGGGGAUGGCGACUGUUUAUCAAAAACACAGGACUUUGCUAAAUUUAAUAAUGAUGUACAAGGUCUGACACCUGCCCAGUUCUAAAAAGUAAAUGAUUAUAAGUUAUGCUUAUUGGUCUAAGCUAUAGUAAACGGCGGCUGUAACUCUGACGGUCCGAAGGUAGCGAAAUUCAUCGGCGGGUAAGUUCCGUCCUGCAUGAAUGGUGUAACGACUGUCCCACUGUCUCCAAUUAUAAUCUAGUGAAGCUGAAUACUAGGUGAAAAUGCCUAGAUAGAACAACGGGACGGAAAGACCCCGUGCACCUUUACUAGAACCUUAUAUUGCUUUAGUGUUUUUGUAAACUACGGGAGAAGAAAUUCUAUAACCGUGGAUACUAAAAUCUUUAGCUUAGAAUAUACUAAAAGAUUUCAAUUUUAUUCAAAUUUGUAAGGAUGCUAGUUUCACUGGGGCGGUGACCUCCUAAAAAGUAACGGAGGUGUACAAAGACUUUGUAAAACAUAUGUGCUAUGUGAGUAUUAUAAUGAAUUAAACUUAGUCUGAUUAAAAAAUUAACCAAUUUUUUAAGGGUAAAUUAUUUUUACCUGUCAUAGUGACCCGAUAAUAUUUAUUGAUAAAGUUAUCGAUUAACGAAUAAAAGGUACGCCGGGGAUAACAGGCUAAUGACUCCUAAGAGUUCCCAUCGACGGAGUUGAUUGGCACCUCGAUGUCGGCUCAUCAUAUCCUGGUUGAGAAUCAUCUUCCAAGGGUCGGCCUGUUCUGCCGUUAAAAUGGUACGUGAGCUGGGUUCAGAACGUCGUGAGACAGUUUGGUCCCUAUCUGUUGUUAAGAUGAAAAAUAAUAGACCCUUGCUUUAGUACGAGAGGACUGAGAUAGAGUGAUCUAUGGUAGGAUAAUUGUUAUAUUCUUAGCAAGUUAUUAAGCUAAAUCACGAUAAGAUAAUUACUGAAAUAAAUUUUAAGUAAGAAGCUUUUCUAUUUAUUUUUCCUAUAGACAAAUUAAAGACUAUAAUUAUAAAUAUAAUUAAAUUGACUUAAUUGUAAAAUUACUGAGAUUUAAUUAAUAUAAAGUCAAGAUCUUAUUAUUU
rnacentral:rRNA from 1 species